UACUGUGAAAAAAUUAGAGUGUUUAAAGCAGGCCGUUUCGGCCACUGUAUACAUUAGCAUGGGAUAAUAGAAUAGGACAUGAGUCCAUUUUGUUGGUUUUUAUGGGUCUCGCGUAAUGAUUAACAGGGACAGUUGGGGUGACUUGUAUUUGGGGGCGAGAGGUGAAAUUCUAUGAUCCCCCAAAGACAAACUACUGCGAAAGCAUUUCACAAACAUGUUUUCAUUAAUCAAGAACGAAGGUUAGGGGAUCGAAAACGAUUAGAUACCGUUGUAGUCUUAACAGUAAACUAUGCCGACUAGGGAUCGGGCGAUGUUCUUCUUUUGACUCGCUCGGCACCUUACGAGAAAUCAAAGUCUUUGGGUUC
rnacentral:rRNA from 1 species